UGCAAUUCGUAGCGGCAUCCUGUUAGCUAGCGCAGUGAUACAACUGUAUCCAUUCAUUACCGGGAAGCUUUUGCAUCACCAACCCACAAAAUCUGAGCAAGGAUGUUGUCAUCAGCGGCUCCAUUCCCCAGCCCCAGCAGCCUCCUUUCGCCGACAAUACCAAGGACACCAAAGCCCCCGUUAUUCUCCCUUCCGCGGUCUCGCUCUCGCCUCCACCUCCGAGCUCGAUCCCCCGAGAUCAAGGGGGCAGUCGCCGGAGCAGCAGGAGCCCUCGCCUCCUCUUUCAUGGCGGGUGCCCAGCCGCAGACGCGCGAUGGCCAAAACGAAGGGCUAGAGGAGGCUAUGAAGCUGCUGUUCGUCGAGAUGGGCGUCGGGUACGACCAGCACGGCCAGGACAUCACUGCCGCCGCCGUGCGCGCCUGCAAGGACGCCAUCUCCUCCAACUCCAUCCCCGCCUUCCGCCGCGGGUCGAUACCUGGGGUGAACAGUGAACAGAUGAAGCUGCAGAUCAAGCUCGGCGUGCCGAGGCCCGUGCAGCAUCUAUUGGACUUUGAGAGAAUCAAGGCAGUCUUCCCCUACAAAAUUUUGAACAGUGCCUAGGUUAGUGUCAGUCAAAUCAUUUCAGGGCAUAUAUUCCAUAUUGCAGAGCAUGGAAAUUUCAAUUAAGGUUAAGGGAAUAAUUCAAAAUUGCUAUCAGACCACCCAAGGAAAAGGUGCCAAAUGUUUUAUCAAGCAGCACAACACGAGAGUGUGUUGGAAUGUUUAAUACCACCAUGCGUCCAUGUGUUUCAGAUGCAGAAGAAUUCCUUCAGGCCAGCAAGACAGUUUCCCGAGCAGAUGCAAAACUAACAAGUGUAAAUAACAAGACAAACCACCUUAAGUAAACGAAGCCUACUGUUUCAUUAACUGUCGAGCAUUGUACUUAUGUGGCGAGAUCACUAGCAUUGAGGUUGUCGAAGGUGGGAUGAUUUGUUCGAGUGGCACGUGCAUUGAAGCAAUGGGAGACAAAAACGAUGACUGCUACAUAGUCAAUGCUGCAGUCUAUGUUGGUUACUAAUGUUAUUUU